rnacentral:rRNA from 1 species
UACGGAAGGGGCAAGCGUUGUUCGGAAACAUUGGGCGUAAAGGGCGCGUAGGUGGUUCUGUAUGUCUACCGUGAAAGCGUACGGCUCAACCGUAUUUUGUCGGUGGAAACUGCAGGACUCGAGGCUGGGAGGGGCUGGUGGAAUUCCCUGUGUAGCGGUGAAAUGCGUAGAGAUGGGGGAGAACACUCGUGGCGAAGGCGGCCAGCUAGACCAGUUCUGACACUGAGGCGCGACAGCGUGGGGAGCAAACAGG